AGUUGUCAUACUCGCUUGAAACAGUACCGUCGUGAUAAUGUAAGAUUGACAUUGAAAUUUAAGCGUGUUUUUUAAUACAGUGCCCCGCCCCGCGGCCGCUUGCCCCGCGCUGCUCACCUCGCCUCGCCACCGUCUCACUGACGUCACGCCGCAUAUAACGGUUUCACAGUAUUUAGUGACAUACGUUGAGGCUGCUACACGCCGCGAUGUUGGAAUGUUUCAAUGUAAGGGGCCGCAGCCGCGGGGUAGAAAGCAACCGUUCGACAUGAUGCCUCGCUCGCGCAAACGAACCAGCCCUUUAGAUGACAUUUUCCUGCCUUUUACAGGUGACAGGACUUGCAACUUCGAGAUAGAUGAUAAUUCAGUCGCUGUACGGUUAUCUUAUUACUUUAUAUUGUUGCUCUAUUUUCCUUUUUUCAUCAAUAGUCAUAAAUGUGUAUAAAAAGUAGGUUCAGAUUGGGCUGUUAAACUUAAUUCGUUACUAAUAAAUGGCUAUGUUCAUGUCAAA